AAAACCUAACUAGCAAUCGUAGCACUUAAAGCCGCUGUCGAACUCUGACCUUGUAAAUGACUUGUCCAUUAGAUAAGGGAUCAUAUAUUUCUCCAUUCUAGAUAUCAUAUGGACUGAGACAUGGAUUAUAAUCAUUCUCUCUGUCCAUUUAUUGUUUCCGGAUUUCCGAUUCAUGACGAUUGACUGAUUGAACAAAUCAAAUUAGUCCUAGCUUGGCCAAGCACUCACAUGUGUCAUCAUUAAAUCAUCGAGGGGCCCACAUAUAUCGCUUUUAUCCCGAAGGUAAAAGGAAUGGAUAAACUUUGACUCAUAUGGCUUGUUCUACUACUUGUUGAAUCAUACACAAAGGCACGUUUUAUAACAUCGAGUUACCGAAUGCAGUUUCGUGCAAUCAAUUUACAAACAACUCAUAGUAACAACUCAUAUCUCUAGGUUUGAAGAAUAUAAGAUAUUAUCGUCUCACGAUCACUCGUGAUAAAAUCCAUGAAGUGAUUCAAAUGAGUGCGGGUUGAANAGUUGUAGCACAACUUUGUCCACCAACUUGGACCUCUACAAGCCAACCCAUGACAGUCUUGAUUCAUAUCUACUUCCAACAUAUGACCGACUGUGGAUGGUUUGAAUAACUUAGUCAUUCUGAAAGAAUAACCUAGUUAUUAUGGAAGUCAAAACAUGCAAAGCGAGACACAAUAAUAAAUGAAUCUAAUAUGGUAUUAAAACCUAUGAAUAUAAAUAAAAAAACUUUCUAUUUAUCAUCAUAUUGAUUACUAAUUAUUCAUUGUUUCGGUUUUAUCAACUUUAUACUUAAAUUAAAAAACACUAGGUGUCCCAUGCUCCAAGCAUGUACACUAUGUUUUCUAAACAAUAGCUUUGCCAUACACCAAGUAUGAACUCUAUGCUUGUCUAUGAUCCUUUUCUUUUUGAACUAGAUCAAUUGAACAUAAUUUCAAUGAUUCUCUUUUCACACUCCCAAUUCCUUGUCUUAAAUGUAUGAAUUCCAAAUUCCUAUUAUUUAUCGAAUUCUCUUUAGAUUUUAAACUUAUAUGCACUGUUCCUAUUGUAAUGAUUAUGCACAAAACCACAAAGGCUUGGCAACAAUCAUUACAGAGUAUUCCAAUGGAAAAGCAUUCCAUGGAAACGAUGUCUCAAAUUCAAAGCGCAUUGCUUUGAACAUGCUUCUUGCAUUAGGUUUCUUUAACCAUACACAGAUUGUGACAACCGUCAAUUUUCGGUCAAGUCAAAGUCAACAAGUCAAACCGGUAAACUCAAUUUGCCCGUAGGUACUAGAGUUUACAUUAUGUAAUUUCUAAACAACACUCUAUUCUAAUGAGAGAUCAUAAAUCGAAAAGUGCGUACAUCUAGAUCUCCUUAACCUAAAACUAUGGUACGUGGCGAGCCAAACCAAUAAAACAAUUUUGCAUACUCAUCGGGAGUAUGCAAAAUCCUUAAACAAGGCUUAACGGGGCUUACGGACCUUGCAUUGUGAAGCCGGACACUUACAUUCAUCACACACGAAACCGCUCUCAAUCGUUUUCACUCUAUCUCUUUGUAUGAGAAAUCUCUCCAAGAAUGUCAAAUCUCUCCCAAAUCCCUCUAAGAAUGUGAAAUCUCUCCCACAUAUCUCUUUGUAUGAGAAAUCUCUCCAAAAAUGUAAAAUCUCUCCCAAAUCUCUCUAAGAAUGCUAAAUCUCUCUCACAUAUCUCUUUGUAUGAUAAAUCUCUACAAGAAUGUCAAAUCUCUCCCAAAUCUCUCUAAGUAUGUGAAAUCUCUCCCAAAUCUCUCUCUGAAUGAGAAAUCUCUCCAAGAAUGUCAAAUCUCUCCCAAAUCUCUCUAAGAAUGUGAAAUCUCUCCCAAAUAUCUCUUUGUAUGUGAAAUCUCCCCAAGUAUGUCAAAUCUCUCCCAAAUCUCUCUGAGUAUGUGGAAUCUCUCUCAAAUCUCUCUCGAAAUCUCUCCCAACUCUCUAUAAUCACUCGGGGCAUCCCGACCCUCGAAUUUGGCGAGAACAGCCCAAAAACGGAAGUCUACGCGAAAAACGGGCAUGAGGAACCGAAACCCCUCUUAGGACCCGAAAGUCCUCUUAGGAACCGAAAGUCCCCUUAGGAACCGAACCCUCCUGAUGAAGAAGGCUGCUGAACCGAACCGAACCUCACUCUAAGAACCGAACCCUUCUGAGCCGAAGGCUGCUCAACCGAACCCGAACGUUCGGCACCUUUCGGUUCUGACCAUUUCCUCUUCUGAUGACUAACCGAACCCUCCCUUCUGAUGGCUUGCCGAACCUUCCCUUCUGAGGACCGAGGACCGAGCCCUCGCUUCUGACUUCGGACCGAGCUCCCCGCCCCUUCGUUUCCCUCUGUUCGUUUCCGGCUACAAUCCUCAGCAUGGACCGAGCCUCGGCCUAGGGACCGAACCUCGGCCUAGGACCGAGAGGUCUCGCUGGGAACUCAUUUUCUCCCGGUUUUCGCGUAGUUUUGCGUUUAAGGCCCGUUUUUAAUUAUUUUAACGCGGGAUUUUCACCCAAAAUCAUAUUUUAACAUAAUAAACCCUAAAUAUUCACAAUUUAAUCAUAUUUUCAUAAAAAUCUUUAUUUAAAUAAUAAAAGCAAGUGGGUAAAGUACAAAGAGGUGGAGUGUUGACUUUGCUUUACCUUAUGACACAAGCAACCACUCCCACACCCACUCUAUGACCAGCCACACCUCCCCACCUUACCUAGGUCACAUCAAUGUCCUUUUCACUCAAUCAUCACUCUUUCCCACGUUUUUGAGAGCUGAAUAUUCAUCCUCUCUCCUCACUUCUCUCAUUUGCUCUCAUUUCACAAGAAGAUCAAACUCUUUUCUCUCUCACUUUCUCUCUCUAGAAAUUCGAGAUUUCCAGGGCUGAUCUUGAGUUUUUCCUCCACAUUUGGUAAGCAUAAUCCAUUCUCUUUAUGAUUAUCUCAAUUAUUUCCACUCAAAUCAUGGAUAUCUUACACAAACUCCAUUAUAUUUGUGUUAGAUCUUCGAAUCUUCAAGUGAUUCUUCAAGUGUUCUUGGGUUGAACACUUCUCUUCUUCAACACUUAUCUACUGAAAUCACUCAAGGUGAGUUCAUACCCCUACAUUUUCAUGUUUUCUCAAGUUUUUAGGGGGGGAAUACAAGUUAAAACACCAAGAACAUAACUAAACUUUUCUAACAGCCUUCAUCAGAAAAGUUCAACUCCAUUCACGGACUGUUUUGGACAACUUAAACAUUUUAGUUUUCAAAACUGUUUUAGGUGCAUGUAGUUCCACUUCUUAGCUUUAAAAUGACUACUUGCACAUCUCCAUACGAUUUUUCUACAAUUUAUGGUGAUUUUUACAAAACUGCCUAUCAUUUCAAACAUCAAUCCGGACCAGUCUGUGAUUAUGGACUUUUUCACACAAGUAAGAAGUCAUUAAAAAUUAUAAUAAAAAUUAUGAACAAACUAGACUCAUUUUCCAAACUCUCAGAAGUUACAGAACUUGAUUUGGACAUUUUAUGAUUUUUCUACAAAUUUUCCAAUAACAGUUACAGAAAAUGUUAUUAACAGAAAAACACUAUAAAUUUCAUUUCACCUUGUAACAUGUUGAGCAAGGUAUACAUCAUUAUGUGAUUAUGUGUUGUUGCAAUAUAUGACAAUUUUGUAUUCUUAUAUAGACAUACAUCAGAAAACAAAUGGAUUUAUACCUCCACAAGUAUGGUAAAUAUAUAAAUGAUAUUACAAGGCUAUAUCCAUUAAAAUAUAAACAUUGGUAAAUUAUGACAAGUAAGGCUUAUGCUCACUACCCACACAAAUAAUUAAUAAACUAUAAUAGGUAUAGUUUAGGGUUAUUUUACAUAACAAACACAUGAUUAAAGGUUUUACACAUACAAAAGAGUUAUUACCACUAUGGAUAAUUAUGAUAAACUAUAAUAAGUAUAGUUAAGCCAUUAUACCCCCACAAACGAACACGCUAGUUAUAAUCGGUAUAGUUAUGGUAUAUAUAUAUUACAAACAAAGUGAUAAACUAUAAUAGGUAUAGUUUAUGUUUCAUCUACCCUAUGAACUUAAUUACAAGAAAGGAAUUCACCAUCACCACCACUUUUGGUAAACUAUAAUAUGCAUAGUUCAUGUUCACUAGUCACUAUCACUAUUUGAUGAACUAUGAUAUGUAUAGGUUAUAUUCACCAUCACCACCACUUUUGGUAAACUAUAAUAUGCAUAGUUCAUGUUCACUAGUCACUAUCACUAUCCGAUGAACUAUGAUAUGUAUAGUUUAUGUUCACAGUCACUAUUACUAUUUCAUACACUACACUAGGGUUUGGUUCCGGUUUUUGGAUUUAAGUCCACAUUAAAUUUUCGCAUUGUUAGACUUCAACUAUAAUCGUUGAGCGUAUAUGCUUGAGUCAUACAAGAAUUUAGUCUGGAUUGGCUUAGAAUUGGUGGUGCCCGCCUCAUCUCCUGUUCCUCGUUGGGUUGUGGACCUAGGGCAGACCCACUAUAUUCAACGUUUUAUCUAACUUAAAUCUUAUAUAACUUAUAUACGCUGGACGAUUAUAGGGGAAAUCUACGGGUCAAUCUAGGGUUCAUCAACACAUCAUAUAGGAAUAUUCUGUUUACACUUAACUAAGAAAAUAUUGGAUUUUCUGGAGAUCAAACUCUAUCGAUUUUAAAAAGGAAAACGGUUUCUACUCCAAACAAAACUCUUAUGAACUCACCAACUUAAUUGUUGACCUCUUUCAUAACUACUUGUAUUCUCAGGAAAUCAGUGAAACAGGAAAACUUCAGCGCUUUGAGGAUGGGACGUUAAACUGUCAACAAUUUAUUUUUGUCAUUAUAAUGUAAUUGAUUUUGAAACAUGUAAACAUAUACUUUGGUGUAACUUUUUCAAUUAUAUUUAUGAUGGUUGUAUUUACUUUGAGCACUAUUAUACACGUAGUUGUGAUACUGUGCAUGAAGUCCUCCACCCCCGGACGUUUCCGCCAUCCUUGGUUUGGGGGUAUGACACAGAUUGCUUCCACCUAUGAAGGCAACUCUAUAUUCCCAUUUUGACUACCACUUUUGAACAAGAGUUCCCUCUUUUCAGACUAUGUCAAUAUGGCCCUUCCAAUAUUAACAGUAUACUUCCAGUUGUCCUUGAGCCACCAAUCUUUGGUAAACCUUAGAUUGUCCUCGACAAUUGCUUAAUCACUUUAGUCAUAUCUAAUUCUAGACAUCAUUCCCCUUAAUGCCCCAAGGCAUUUGGAAAAUUCAGAAAUGAUAAAUAUUAUAGCACAUGUAAUCGAUCUUAUACCCAAAGUAAAUGGGACAAGAUUCAUGAUGUUUCAUAUAAAGACAUGGUUCUAGACCAGUCUUUCGCCAUAAUAAUUUUUAUUUGCCAUAUUCUCAAAAUUUGACUAUGAAAAGGGAUGCCAUAAUCAUAAUUGAAUUUUAGAUUGCAAAUAAUAGACCCAUAUAUAGAAUUUCCUUAUGUUGAGCCAUUCCAACAUCAAAUUCAUAUAUGUAUCCUUGACUAAAUACGAUUAGAACCUCAAUCUAAGCUUUUAGAUUUGAGAUGAAGUAUAAUUUCCUCUCCCUUAAUUAUAGCAAAACAACUUUUUCUACCCCUAUAACCUCACGAAUUGAAACUUUUGUUUUAUAUAAUUAACAUUGCUAACUUGCAAUUCUUAUCAUAAUUAUCAUGCUCCCACGAACAUGAUGACUAUUAGCAUAUCACUUAUGCUCCCACUAGCAUUCACAUGUAUCUAGAAAACAGCUGGAACUGUAGAAGUCAAUACUUUAUUGACAUUCUUACCAAAGCUCAGAUUUCUGAUACUAGAUUGCUUUGAUAAGGCUUUAUCAAAAUUAGACACCUUAUCUUAGAUAGCUCACAGGUGUGUCUAAACAAUUUCAUAACUAUGAAAAGGGAUGCCGUAAUCAUAGUCUCAAUUGUUUAGACCUUUUUGCCAUUUCUCAUAAGUCAAUGUUAGUGUGCCGGUUAACCACGCACGCUCCACUAAUGACUUUCAGAACUGCAAAUAUCACAACUGCUAUCUACUUAGUGAAAGAGUUUCCUUACCAUCAUUUUCAUGAAUCAAAGAGAAACCUUAUGACACUUAGAUUUUAUGGUGUAUAUGCUCUUAUCCACGUGAAUUUGUCAAACCAUAAUCACAAGACUAGGUUANCUAGGUUAGUGACAAAUCCUAACUCAUAUGGAUUGAACUUGUGCAAUCUUAACUUCUUGCCACCUGGCAGCUCAAGGGCUUGCCAUUGCUUCCAUGUAGCUAUGCAAACAAUUAAGAACAUGUAGAACUCAAAUGUAUAGCCAACUUAACUGGAAUGGGCACAAAAAUGUCAGCACGAUAGGUUGUCAACCUCUAGUUGUGUGCUAGUGAUGAAAUAUAGGUUUUAUUCUUGAUUACUUCUUGAAACCCUAUUAGGAUCUUUUAGACUCCUACUGUCUCCUUGAUCUAUAAGACUUUCUUUCCAAAUAUUCAAGAGAUAGUGUGGAUUCUAAUCAAGACAAACACUUAACACAACUGGCCUAAGUUGAUCUUUGUUUUAUCCAAAACAUCACAACCUGCCAAUUUCAAAUGUACAAGAGUAGAAUACUUUUACUCUUACAUUUGACAAGUGUUUUAAACCUUCUUUAAGACAUGUCACUUAAGUUACAAUCUUAGAGUAUAACUCUAAGAAUCGUUUUUGGAACGAAGUAUGAAUCAUCUUCUUGAUUUAACCACUUCAACAAUUCAUAACUCCUCUUCUUAACUAUCAGAAUGCACUUAGAGGAUGAAUUGUGAUAAGGUGUCAAAUUCAUUAAGAUGAUCUUAAAACAUGAUACUAAAUACCCUCCCAUCUUUUCAUAUUUGAGAAACUUUUAUCCUUCUGCCUAAUUUGAUUCUUCAUAUUCGUUCUGUUAUACAUUGAAACUUUUCCAAUGUCUCAUAAUUAUACUUAAGCUUGUAAGUAUAAUCAUAUUUACUAAACCUUAGUAAAUCAUGACGAAUAGUCUUAUCUAUCUUUUGUGGUGGACUUUGACAAGUGCACAAGAAAGUGUACUUGAUCCCUUAAUCCUUCUCUUGAGUCACAUAUACAUGUGACCAUGGAACUAGUCUUAAUUUUCCAAAGUUGAAAAUUCAGACACUACCACAAAUGAAAGAAUCAAAUUCAUAUUUCCAAUAUUGCUAUAAACAUACAAACAUCAAGUUUUCAUGAAUGUCAUUGUAAGGAGAUAAAAAUAAAGUAAAACAAACUUUUAUUUAUUUUAAAAUGCGGAAAAAAAAAACUUUUUCCUUACAAUGUAACAUGAAAUGAAAACUAUGUUAUUACAUUUUCCUACCAACCUAUCAUAACUCCUAAGAAGUAGCUCAAGAAUCUGAUCUUCAAUCAAGCGAUAGAAAUCCAUCUUCGAGUUCAGAUUCAACAUACUCUUUCUUUAAGUUUCCUUCUAUUUUCCUUUGAUUCUUAAAACAUCAACAUGUGACCCAGUCACAUCAUGUAAUAAGAAUCUUAAAAUAGAAACUUAAUAGAGUUUGAUAGUGGACUUUACCUGAAGUAGAGUCAUACUUAUUCACUUUACCAGCCUUAUGAUCUUUCAGGAAUAUUUGGCAGCUUCGCAACCAAUGCCCUUUCCUUUUUGGCAAUAGAAUCAUAUGGAUCCUUUGGGAAUGGUACAUGGGAUAGUCUCAGACUUAGCCUUUCUCUUUACCAUUUGGUCAACCGAGUUGACUAUGGCCGAUCCCUUUCCUUUGGGAAGAAAAAUGCUUUUUCUGGAUUUCGAGUGUCACCAUUUUCAAUGUCCAUAAAGUUUUGGGAAGUCGAUCUUCUAAUCAAAUUUGCUUUACUAGCCUUGCAAAUCAUUGUUGAUUCAGCAACACCAAUCAAAUAGAUAAGAUCAUUAAGGGUCUUGUCAUAGUAUGUUUCAUAGGAGUCCCAAAAGGAACUCACUAUGUGACUUAGAAAGUGAUUGAACCACUAACUUUCUCAAGACUUUGACACCCAACUCUCCCGGCUUUUCAGUUUGUGACUUCAUCUGCAAGAUGCGAUCACAACAAGACCUUGCCUUGCCAAUAGGGUUUGAGUGACCUUGAACUUGUGGGUUAGGGAGAAUAAUUGGAGGAGGUGGAGGAAGUGAAGUUCCAAGAGAUUUGGGAAGAUCAUAGAUGUCUGAACUCGACAUCUUUUGGGAGAUAUUCAAGAUAGUUGAUUCAACAUCCUUAAUAUAACACCCAAUAUGAAAUAUUAAGGUUAGGACCCAACAAAAUAUUUUAUAACUUGGAAGAGGGAUGCCGUAAUCCAAGCUAUAAAAUAUUUGAAGGUAGGUGAAUGGCGAUUCACCAAUUUCCACCAUGGAAAACAAAAUAUAUUAUUAGAUUUUAAUUGGUUUUGAAACUCCUAGAUUCUUUUGAGAUUCAUUGAACUUUUCAAUGGCAUGUUUCAAUCUCGAGUGUUCCCUUCAGGUUUUGUGACUAGGAUGCCAAGGAUCACAAAACAAGGUGUGAAUAACCAUGCAAAUAUACUUGGUACCCUUAAUAUUUACCCCUCAAUCGAUGUGCCGGUUAACCACACACGCUCCAUCGAUACUAUGAUAAAUAUUAAGUUCCCUUUGCCUACCUUGUUAAAUACGAGUUAGUGUGCCGGUUAACCACACACGCUCCACUAACUGACUUAAACAAAGUGCAAAGUGUAAUUUCAUGGUAUAGCACCUUAUUCACAUUUUCCUAAAGUAACUAAGAUUGGGAAUUAUAAAAAACAUUUAGUUACUUUAUAUUUAUCAUUAAUACUUUUAAUGAAGGGAGAAUUAUAGUCCUUGUCCUACCCGUUCAACUAACGACCCAUCACCAGUCAUGGAAGCGGUGGGUGAGAGUGGACACCCAUUAAACUGCCAUUUUAUAGGCAGUAACCUUAUAACCCCCUUAUAGACCGGCUUCGUGAAUGAGACCUACUAAUGGUAAGACGCUUAUAAUAUUAUAAAGUAUAAGGGUUGAAAUUAAACAUUUAAAAUUCUAAGGGCUUAACUUGGAAUUAAAGUAUUCAUGGGAAAACUUUACAAAUUCCAAAACUUGAGGGCAAGUUUUUGAAACUAUUCAAAACUUUUCAUUUCAUAACUUAUGAGUUUAAUGGUUCAUUAAACUGAAGACUCUUCAUUUUUUAUGUAACCUCUUAUUCUUUAAUAACACUUUUAAAGAAGUGACUCUUAAACAUCCAUAACAUGAGGACAAGUUAUGGAGUCAUAAUACUAUUUAAUGAAAAAGACUCUUCAUUUUUUAUGUAACCUGUGGCACUUUUAUAAGUUUUAAGAUUCAUAAAUGUGACAUUUUAUGUAACUUGAGGACAAGUUACAAAAACACAUUUUAUGAACUACUUCUAGAUUAAUUAAGAUUGAAAACAACUAAAACACAAUUUUUUUCAUUAAUCUAAACUAACUCAUAAAUCAAGGAAACAUAAAACUUUUGGUAAUCCAUAACUUAUGGAGUUAAAUGCUUGUUUUAUGAUGAAACUUUUCAUGUUCCAUAACUUAAGAAUAAGUUAUGGAAUUCUUUNNNNNNNNNNNNNNNNNNNNNNNNNNNNNNNNNNNNNNNNNNNNNNNNNNNNNNNNNNNNNNNNNNNNNNNNNNNNNNNNNNNNNNNNNNNNNNNNNNNNNNNNNNNNNNNNNUUUUUUUUUUCAACUUUGAAAAUAAAAUAUUUGCAUCAAUAUAACAGAAAACAACCCGUGGCUCUGAUACCACUGUUGGGUUUUGAGCAUUCUAACACUUCCUAAGUGUACAUGCAACCCUAAAUACCUUGGAUCUAUGUUUUCUCUAUUAUACAUGCAAAUAAGAACAUCCAAGGUAUUAUCCUAAUCUAGCAUACAAAAACUAUGAAUGUAACAAGAUAGAAUACAUACCUCUUGAUGUAGCUUGAUGUCUUCAAGCUUUAAGAGCUUAGCCCCAAUAGUGUGGAAGCCUCAAGUGGAAUCACAAAUCACCAAGACACCUUGGAAUACUUUAGAGAAUAUGAUUACUUGGUUCUCUCUAGUGAAAUUGGCUAGCCCUUCUUUAGUGUAUCCACACUAGUGCCAAUUUCACCAACCAAAGACAUCUUUAUAUAGUAUGGAGGAUUAGGGUUAAACCCUAAUACCCAUGACCUUUCAUUUCCUAGGAUCCAUGGGUUAAACACUCCAUGGACUAUCCAUGAAAGCUUAGCCCAACCUAAAUGAACUUGGCCCAUUCCAUAUAUAUAAGAGUCCAUAUUUAAUUAGUUCCUUUUGAUCACUUAAUUAAUUAUAAAUUAAUUCUUGAUCAAUACUAAUUAAAUAAUAUGAUUCCAUAUUAAUAUAUUAGAACUUAUAAUAUAUUAAUAUUAAUCAUAAACAUACUAUUCUCAAAAGAUUAUCCAUAUAAAUUGUGUCGGUGAAGUGCAACCCAAAUGGACCAUGCCGGGUCGGGUCAAGUACAUACCAAAUAUAGUUAUGGACUUAGACAUUAAUCCAACAGUCUCCCACUUGGAUAAGUCUAAAACUAUUAUUGAGUAUGACUUCAAAACCUAACUGGCAAUCGUAGCUCUUAAAGCCGCUGUCGAACUCUGACCUUGUAAAUGACUUGUCCAUUAGAUAAGGGAUCAUAUAUUUCUCCAUUCUAGAUAUCAUAUGGACUGAGACAUGGAUUAUAAUCAUUCUCUCUGUCCAUUUAUUGUUUCCGGAUUUCCGAUUCAUGACGAUUGACUGAUUGAACAAAUCAAAUUAGUCCUGGCUUGGCCAAGCACUCACAUGUGUCAUCAUUAAAUCAUCGAGGGGCCCACAUACAUCACUUUUAUCCCGAAGGUAAAAGGAAUGGAUAAACUUCGACUCAUAUGACUUGUUCUACUACUUGUUGAAUCAUACACAAAGGCACGUUUUAUAACAUCGAGUUACCGAAUGCGUUUUCGUGCAAUCAAUGUACAACCAACUCAUAGUAACAACUCAUAUCUCUAGGUUUGAAGAAUAUAAGAUAUUAUCGUCUCACGAUCACUCGUGAUAAAAUCCAUGAAAUGAUUCAAAUGAGCGCGGGUUGAAUCCAAUACUCAGAACUUAUGAGCACUCAUGAGAGUUGUAGCACAACUUCGUCCACCAGCUUGGACCUCUACAAGCCAACCCAUGACAUUCUUGAUUCAUAUGUAAUUCCAACAUAUGACCGAAUGUGGAUGGUUUGAAUAACUUAGUCAUUCCGAAAGAAUAACCUAGUUAUUAUGGAAGUCAAAACAUGCAAAGCGAAACACAAGAAUAAAUGAAUCUAAUAUGGUAUCAAAACCUAUGAAUAUAAAUAAAAAAACUUUCUAUUUAUCACCAUACUGAUUACUCAUUAUUCAUUGUGUCGGUUUUAUCAACUUUAUACUUGAAUUAAAAAACACUAGGUGUCCCAUGCUCCAAGCAUGUACACUAUGUUUUCUAAACAAUAGCUUUGC
rnacentral:lncRNA from 1 species